rnacentral:rRNA from 1 species
UACAUAGGGAGCAAGCGUUAUCCGGAAUUAUUGGGUGUAAAGGGUGCGUAGACGGGAAUUUAAGUUGGUUGUGAAAUCCCUUGGCUUAACUGAGGAACUGCAACCAAAACUGGAUUUCUUGAGUAUCGGAGAGGAAAGUGGAAUUCCUAGUGUAGCGGUGAAAUGCGUAGAUAUUAGGAGGAACACCAGUGGCGAAGGCGACUUUCUGGACGAAAACUGACGUUGAGGCACGAAAGUGUGGGGAGCAAAC